UGUUUGCUGAAAGGACUGCCCUGU
rnacentral:misc_RNA from 1 species